rnacentral:tRNA from 1 species
GCCCCUGUAGCUCAACGGAUAGAGCAUCACAUUCCUAACGUGAAGAUCCAGGUCCGACUCCUGGUAGGGGCA